GUUGUCCGUUCUUUGUAUUUGUGGCUUCCAUGAUGGCAGCGUUCGUCCGUGCGUAUUGCCGCAGUUUGAUGUACAAGUGAGAGACAUGGACGGCACUAUAGUUUCAGGGUUCGUUAUGAAGACGUUUGACAAGUUGCUAAGUUGAGAAGUUGUUUGAGAACUCGCUACCAAUGGCCGAGUCCAGAACAACACUGGGAUCAGUCAAUGAAGGAUUUGCCAAGUUACAGCAGCCUCCUAUCCAUCACAAGCUUUUGGGCUGAACGCAGACAUGGUAAGCUGUAGUACUCUUUCUCUAAUUUCAGGUAAACCAGGGCCAGUGCAUUCAUUGCGUGGGAAUCAGCUUGUACACAUGGAUAGCGUAAGCUAGCUUCCAGUACGACAAAAAGGAUGCUGUGCCAGGGGUAACUGACUGUCUUCUGUCCUAUGCACUUUAAGAUUGCUCUCAGCAGAGUAUUACUCACUUCCAUCUUCUCAGUUCAGAGGAACAAGUCAGCGUCAUUUGCAAGGUAACCACAACAGUUCUUUCACAGCGGCCUGUCCUGCAGCAUCCCAAUGAACAACUACUGUACGACCCGUAUGGGAAUUUUUUUCAUGAGCAGAUCAACAAUGCCAAGGUUACCUCACGAAGAUCCGGGUGCCUCAAGCGUCGCUACCUUCUUGGGGGAAAAAUGAAAUAGACAACUAUGUGACAACAUAGACAACAUCUUUCAUCUAGACAACUAUGUCGUGACUGUACCACGCACCGCGAACUCAGGAACGUCACAAAUCAGGAGCAGCAGAUGGAAGCAACAAAGAGGACAUUUAAACUGUGUGUACUCAGAUACAUAGCUUUGUUUCGGUUAGUUAGUUGAAAACUGCACCGCUCGCAUAUGAGACAAGCAUAUGUUGCCUUGCGCGUUAGGAAAAUCUAUUAAAAUUGCCUUUGUAGUAAGCUGUGUAUUUUGAUAGGGACACGCUAUAUCAGACAGCAGCUCAUGGUGUAAAAAUCUGAUGCCAACACGGCAAAUUCUGAACUGUAAUUUUGAAAAUUUAAUUUCUCAGCAUGAGAAAAUUAUUAAAUUGCUUGUAAUUUGUGACAAAAGUUUUAGAUAAAACUUAACAUUUCAAGCGAAAAUGUGCUGUGGAUAUGCAAGCUAUCGUUCCUAUCUUUUUUUAGUGUGGAAGCUGACAGGACUUGUGCGUACAAAAAUUCUCUAUGGAUCUUUGUGGCAAUCUCAGAAACGGCACUAUAUUAAUUUGCUUGUAUCUGUAUGUCGAUAUAUGCAUAGUUUGCUACAAGUGCUCUUAUUUGGGCAUACCAGUGCCACACCUUACCUUUUUGGCUUCAACUUCUGAAUUCAAUUCGACUUGCCUUUUAAUAUAACCGGUGUCCCGUCUCUGUCUAGUGAUUCACUGUGCCGUAAUGAGGCUGACUGGGGAACGAAUCACUCGCUGUGACAAGCCAAACUGUUCUCUUUAUGCAGAUGUGAUGUCAUGCUUACGGUGUUGCACAUGUCAUUUUCGUCUGUGCAAUGUUCCAAGUAAAUGUGAUUUGUAGGAUUUUGGAUUGCUAUAGGAACUGUGCAGUGUGAUAUUUUGUUCCUUUGAAGCUGAAAUAUAUUUGAAACCAAUAAACUGACAGUUUUUCCCUUC